UCUGACACACUGAGAAACUGAAAAGCAUCACCUGAGUUCAUUGGUUCCUUGGUUCAAGGUUUGUUGUAUUGGAGCAUACAUUUACAUAAAAUUAGAAUGGCAAUUCCAUACACAACUCACGAGCUACUUGUAGCAAUUGUUCAGUUCUUAAUUAUAUUAAUAUUAUCCGAUCAUAUUUCAGAGCGUUAGUUCUGCAGGCGAGGUGCUUGAGACAAGGAAAAGUAGGAAGUCAAAACCAUGAUGAAUGUUGUCAUCUUGAAACAUCCCCAAGUUAAAAACAUUUUGAGGGGUUAGCCUUUUUGCCUUUGUAUCAAUUUUUAAUUGUUUCUUAUUGAGACUUGUUUGGUAUAACAACAACCUGGUGAUGUCUUGAUGAAUUGAAAAUUAGUUGUGCGGAGCCUGCUUGGGUAGGGUGAACAAAGUGGCUUUGUUUAUGGCCCUUUCCACCCUGCUGUUGCAAGGAAACAUGAACUUGAUGGCAGCAAUAAACCUGGGCAAAGGGAGAAGGCACAUGACUGGAGAGCCUUUCUUCUUUAUUUUGACCAGUCCCAGAAACAAGGUGGGUUCAGUACUUCAAUCCUUUUUUGUUCAUUCGGACAAAACUAUAAUGUUUCUACUUGAGUAUAGGAAGUAUGUGUAUAGCAUGUCUUUCUAGCUGUGGUUUUAUAUAAUUAGGCUUAAGCUAAUAGUGGCAUGUGGGGAUGUAUUUUAUUCUUUAUUGGAACGUGGUGGGUUUUCUGCAGUGGUGAUGUUUUCCUUUGGUUUGAUAGCUACAAAUUUUAAUACAUAAUCCUUGGUGCUCUGCAUGAGUUUCAUUCAAGCUGAGCUGGAAGAGGAGGUAGAUGUUCUAUCUGAGAUAGAGGAGGAAAAACUUGAAUCUGAAUUAGACGCAGAAGAAGGGAGUUCUGAGGUUGCAAAGCUUCGCCAUGGUGUGGAGCGGUACGCACAUGAGGAUUCCCAAUAAUUGGAUUUGAGAAGGAGGCCAUGAAAUACAAGAACUAAUAUCUGAAUGGCAAGGUCCUAAGAUAUGGUUUCUCGCAAUCAUCUACUUCAUUCUCGAAUGCCCCCAGUGCCUACUACCAUUGGUACCGGCCACUAUACCGUGCAAUGAGAUUGCAAGAACGGGACUGCUAAGCAAGCCUGGAUCAAUCUCAAUCAACGGGAACAGAGACGUCGGUGACUAAAUUUUUUGGGUGAAGCCAUGAUGCUGGAAGGGAAGUCCUACCUUGUGUCGUGCUCCCUGUUGAGCUCCUGCGAGACAGAGACGCAGUGGGUGUACCUCGCCCACGAGGUCCUCGGCGGCAAGCGCCUGGCGGUGACUAUGUACUUAGGGGUGAUCAUGGUCAGGGAUGAGUCAAUUCAUUGAAGACAUCAUGAGAAUGCUAUGGUGUUGCCCAGUUUCAUUUAAGUCCAAGAAGCUGGUGAAGAUGGAGAGUAUCAAUGGGACAUUGGAGAAGAUGGCAAACUAACCACCGAAAGUUGUGUCAACUACAUCAGAUUUGGAAGUCUGGGUGGGGCAUGGAGAUCAGAGCCAACAUGUCUCUUCACCUGCCAGUUCUCAUAUGAAGAGUGGCUGGAGUAUGAAUGCAAAACGCGAGGCAUUGAGUGCAUCCGUGCCAUGGGAAAGUAGGAGGACAAAUGGCAGUUCGAGUAGUGCUGCUCGUUUAGCUGAGAUUGAUUGAUGUGAUGAUGUUGCUUAUGGCAGGGCACAAACCACAAAUACACACAAACCAGAUGAGAAUGCCUACCAUUUGUUUCUGUAAAAAGUUGUAGAAUUCACAACACAGGGAGAAGAAAAAUCACUUACAUAUGCCCAAACUUGGUGCCCUGCUCAAUUUGCAGAUCAUACACAAAAGUCAUGAUACUGCAGAGUACGCUGAAGGCUGCGCGGUUUCUCCCCUGUUCGUGCCCAUCUUUCCCCCUUGUUAAUAAUUUCUAUUUAGAAUCAUUAAUCUAGGACACUUGUAAUGCACAUGAUGUUUUCCUUAUGUAUUAAUUCCUUCACUUGUAAAGCACAUGAUGUUUUCCUUAUAUAUUAAUUUCUUAACUUUUAAAGCA